rnacentral:lncRNA from 1 species
ACAGCUUUGAAGGGGAAGUGGUUGAAGUCAGAGGAGAACAAAAUCAGUCAAAGAUGAUGUUGGCAAACAACCGAACAGUAUGCAUGAUUGAUUCCUUCACAGUUAUUUAUGCUGAUCAGAUAAUUUUCAGCAAGAAAAUAGAAAAAGAGAAAGGGUAGGUACAUGAGAGAAGUUGCAUAAAUAAACAAUGCAUUGUACCAUAUGAGCAUUUUGCUCUUUAGAAAGACUGAACUUUCAAGUAAUUUGCAUAUGCGAAUGAUUGUCUCUUUAGAAAGACUGAACUUGGACGUAAUUUGCAUAUGCGAAUGAUUGUUUGGACUGACCAUAAUUCUUGUGUGGUCUCUCCUACCCCGUACCCUCUUCACAGUUCUCACAUUAGAUUUGGCAUUUGUGUUUUGAGAAAAUAGAAGAAGAAGAAAAGAUAUUGGGAAU